rnacentral:rRNA from 1 species
GGUGUGUACUAUCUUUCCUACCCUUCUUGUGGGUUUGGUUCAUACUGUCCUUAACUGGAUGGUAUGUUUUACCUCCCGCUCGUUUACUUUGAAAAAAUUAGAGUGUUUAAAGCAGGCGUUUUCCGCCCUGAAUACAUUAGCAUGGGAUAAUAGAAUAGGACUGUCUGUCUAUUUUGUUGGUUUCUAGAUAGAUAGUAAUGAUUAAUAGAGAUGGUUGGGGAUAUUUAUAUUCCAUGGCCAGAGGUGAAAUUCUUGGAUUCAUGGAGGAUAAACAAAUGCGAAAGCAUUUAUCAAGGAUGUUUUCAUUAAUCAAGAACGAAAGUUAGGGGAUCGAAGACGAUCAGAUACCGUCGUAGUCUUAACCAUAAACGAUGCGGACCAGGGAUUGGGAGACGUUACGUGGAUGACUCCCCCAGAACCUUGUGAGAAAUCACGAGUCUUUGCGUUCCGGGGGGAGUAUGGUCGCAAGGCUGAAACUUAAAGGAAUUGACGGAAGGGCACCACCAGGAGUGGAGCCUGCGGCUUAAUUUGACUCAACACGGGGAAACUCACCAGGUCCAAACAUAGUAAGGAUUGACAGAUUGAGAGCUCUUUCUUGAUUCUAUGGGUGGUGGUGCAUGGCCGUUCUUAGUUGGUGGAGUGAUUUGUCUGGUUAAUUCCGAUAACGAACGAGACCUCAGCCUGCUAACUAGUGGGUUCAACCUUCUGCAUGGGUGAAUCUUUAGAUGGGUAGGGUCUUUGU